rnacentral:rRNA from 1 species
ACGCGAGGAACCUUACCAGGUCUUGACAUCCCACUGCCCGGUAUAGAGAUAUACCUUUCCCUUCGGGGACAGUGGUGACAGGUGGUGCAUGGUUGUCGUCAGCUCGUGUCGUGAGAUGUUGGGUUAAGUCCCGCAACGAGCGCAACCCUUGAUCUUAGUUGCCAGCAUUUAGUUGGGCACUCUAAGAUGACUGCCGGUGACAAACCGGAGGAAGGUGGGGAUGACGUCAAAUCAUCAUGCCCCUUAUGACCUGGGCUACACACGUGCUACAAUGGACGGUACAAACGGUUGCCAACCCGCGAGGGGGAGCUAAUCCGAUAAAACCGUUCUCAGUUCGGAUUGUAGGCUGCAACUCGCCUACAUGAAGCCGGAAUCGCUAGUAAUCGCGGAUCAGCAUGCCGCGGUGAAUACGUUCCCGGGCCUUGCACACACCGCCCGU